rnacentral:rRNA from 15 species
UGACUGGGGCGGUCGCCUCCCAAAAAGUAACGGAGGCGCGCAACGGUGCCCUCAGGCUGAUUGGAAACCAGCCGUAGAGUGCAAAGGCAUAAGGGCGCUUAACUGCGAGACCGACAGGUCGAGCAGGUGCGAAAGCAGGCCUUAGUGAUCCGGUGGUUCCGUAUGGAAGGGCCAUCGCUCAACGGAUAAAAGGUACUCUGGGGAUAACAGGCUGAUCGCGCCUGAGAGUUCACAUCGGCGGCGCGGUUUGGCACCUCGAUGUCGGCUC